GGUGGACCGUUAUCGUGGAUACAUCCUGCUGUUUACAAUAGCCAACUUAAUGUAUACGGUGGACCGUUACCGUGGAUACAGCCCGCUGUUAUCAAUAGCCAACUUAAUGUAUACGGUGGACCGUUACCGUGGAUACAGCCCGCUGUUAACAAUAGCCUACUUAAUGUAUACG